rnacentral:rRNA from 1 species
UACGGGGGGGGCAAGCGUUGUUCGGAAUUACUGGGCGUAAAGAGCGUGUAGGCGGCCAGACAGGUCAGCUGUGAAAACUCGAGGCUCAACCUCGAGACGUCGGUUGAAACCGUCUGGCUAGAGUCCGGAAGAGGAGAGUGGAAUUCCCGGUGUAGCGGUGAAAUGCGCAGAUAUCGGGAAGAACACCCGUGGCGAAGGCGGCUCUCUGGGACGGUACUGACGCUGAGACGCGAAAGCGUGGGGAGCGAACAGG